GAAGGUCAGAAUAUAGAAACAAAGAUGCUCUGGGCAACAUUCAUUUUUUUCUACAAAUACUUGUUAAGUGCUGACUAUGUUGCCAUCCCUUCAGAAAUGAAUAAGACACAGGCCCUGCCCUCAAGGUACUCACAGCCUCUGUGGGGAGAGAGUUAAGUGCCCAAGCAACUGGAGUUCGUGAGAGAGAUGCAGAGGAAGCAAUUCAGGCAUGAGAUGGAGGGCUGCAAAUACUUCACAGAAAAGCACACUCACAUGACUUGGGAUUGAUGGGAACUAUGUCAUUCUCUGUGAACCUCUGAGGUGUCUGUGGAGAUGAAGGCAAGUCCAAAAGAGAACCCAGCCUCUGUUGAGCACAGUAGAAGAGCAUGGCUGCCCAAUGGGACUGCACGAUUUGCACCUACAGGGACAGCUGGAGGCCACAGCGCCAGGCAGACACCAGCAAGCCCAGAUGGCCAGCCUCGGGCACCAGCGCCCACCACAAGUGCCUGCGAUGGAGAGAGGGCUGCUGGAGGUUCGGCUGAGCAGCUGCAAAACGAGGGAAUGCUGAGCGCAGGGUGGUUUGGGUUUUGGUUUUGAUUUGGGGGUUUUCUCUCCUUUGCACUUUCCCGGGAAAGCAUUUGAAUCCAUACUUAUCUUCCUGGCUGA